rnacentral:rRNA from 1 species
UACAGAGGGUGCGAGCGUUAAUCGGAAUUACUGGGCGUAAAGCGUGCGUAGACGGUUAUUUAAGUCAGAUGUGAAAGCCCCGGGCUCAACCUGGGAAUUGCAUUUGAGACUGAAUAGCUAGGGUACGGUAGAGGGAAGCGGAAUUUCCGGUGUAGCGGUGAAAUGCGUAGAUAUCGGGAGGAAUACCUAUGGCGAAAGCAGGCUACUGGACCAUCACUGACGCUGAUCUGCGAAAGCUAGGGGAGCAAACAGG